GACGAACGCUGGGGCGUGCUUAACCUACAUGCUUAGAUCGAACGCUUUUCUUUCACCGGCAGACUUGUCUCACGGCAAAGAACACAGAGUGGCGGAACGGGUGAGUAACACGUGGGUAACCUACCCUCGAGCGGGGGAUAACAUUUGGAAACAGUGUGCUAAUACCGGCCAUAAUAACAGCAAGAAGCAUUUCUUUUGUCUGACAAGUCGCCAACUGCGACACUCGCAGGCAUGGACCCGCGGUGCAUUAGCUAGUUGGUGGGGUAACAGGCUCACCAAGGCCACGAUGCAUAGCCGACCUGACGAGGGUGAUCGGCAACACUAGGUGACUUGAGACAACGUGACCCAGGAAUACCUACCCGGAGAGCGCAGCA
rnacentral:rRNA from 1 species